AUUGAACGCUGGCGGCAGGCCUAACACAUGCAAGUCGAACGAGUGGCGGACGGGUGCGUAAUGUCUGGGCAACUGCCUGAUGGAGGGGGAUAACUACUGGACACGGUAGCUACUACCGCAUACCAUCAGAUGUGCCCAGAUGGGAGUAACUAGUUGGUGGGGUAACGGCGCACCAAGGCGACGAUCCCUAGCUGGUCUGAGAGGAUGACCAGCCACACUGGAACUGAGACACGGUCCAGACUCCUACGGGAGGCAGCAGUGGGGAAUAUUGCACAGGGGGCGCAAGCCUGAGGCAGCCAUGCCGCGUGUAUGAAGGAGGCCUUCGGGUUGUAAAGUACUUUCAGCGGGGAGGCGUUACCCGCAGAGGAAGCACCGGCUAACUCCGUGCCAGCAGCCGCGGUAAUAC
rnacentral:rRNA from 1 species